UUUCCAACGAACCAACUGCGCCAGCAGACUUUGUCAAUUUAGAAAGGAACAAAAUAUAUUUAAGUAGUACUAGUUAACAGAAACUUUAGGGUAUUAAAAGGAAGAACUUAGGGAUUAAUCACAAAACCUAAAUUCUUCCUCCCCUUUCUCUCGGCGACGGCGUUUUCUCUCGGGCGAAAAACGCAGCGAGCUUGAGGGCGUCUCCGGCGGCCGACCAAGGCUCGAUUCCAAGAGAUUUCUUCGCCCUCUCGAUCCUCUCGACAAGGAGAACUCGAAGACGCGAGGAAGAGGCCGAGAUCGUGAGUUUCUCCGAAGCCCUAGAAUCUAUCUUGCUCGGUUGUAAGUCCAAGAACCGAAGAUAAAGGAAAAGCUAAAGUAUAAGGAAGAAGGCGACAAGGAGAUGCUGUGACGGAACUUUACAUUUUAUUGGAUGAUUACCGGGAGCGAAUGAAGUUAAAGGUCCCCAUCUAUUUCUCUGUUGGUUUGACAAUUCAAGCAAAUAUGUAUUAUAAGAUGUUUAUUGGAUAGGCAAGCCAAAAGAUCAAAGACACUUCAUCAGUGCGCAAUACAUAUGACUUCAAACAUGUGAACUCAUGGUUAUCAUCUAGACAAGACAGAGGCAGUUUGUAGAGGUCCAGGAGGUUGAAUCUAAAAUAGAAGAAACAAGCUUUGAUCAUUAUGUUAUGCAAUUUAAUAGUGUUGAAAGAACAGUUUACUUGAGAGGUCC